rnacentral:lncRNA from 1 species
CAAUCGUGGAAUGUCGAAACGAUUGUGUGCGUGAAUGUGCAGUAGAGUGUGCAGAUAGCAGACUAAUUUACGUGUGUCUAAAACAAUGUUUGAGCCAUUGUAAACGCAUCAUACAUGAUUACCACCAUUGAUUGUACAAAUGCCUUCGCAAAUUACAUAUGCAACAUUGUGGGUGUUGGUAUGCACACAUUGCCUCUCACUAUCCUCUUUCUUUAGGUUUAAAGAUUUAGUCCUUGUUUAUAGAAACAAUAUUUUUAAAAUAUAUUUUUAAAAAUAUAUAUAUAUAAUUUCUCAAUUUUACUCUUGAAAUCAACCUUUUCUUUGAUUAAUUUUUUUUUUUUUGAAAAAAAAGUCUCUUUAUGAUUUAGGUGGGACACAUGUACAUAAAUAUUUAUGAGUAUUCAUUAAAAAGCAUACCAUUAACCUAAUUUUGGAAAUCAAACAUGUUCUUGAAAAUAAAAAAUCAUGGAAAUUUUGUAAAAUGAUUGAGUUGAUUUUAUUUAUUUUUUUAUCAAAAGUUUUGUUGUCUUCAAGUUGAUUUCUAUAAAAAAAAAACAUAAUGUCUAAAUAAUUUCACAAUUAUGUUUUGAAAAAAAUGAGAUUACAUAAAAUUAUUCUUAUAAUUUUUAGUAGAUUAUAAGAUUCUUACAAUAUUGAUGUAUGUUUCAUGUAGGUACCAAUAAAGGAGAAGGACAUGAAUUUAUGCUUGAGGAAUGCAAUUUUAAUAUAUAUUCAUUCUCCUUGAAUUAUUUGUAAUAUUGAAUAAGAGUGCUAUGAAUUGUACUCAUUAAUUCCUAAUCAACAAAUUUCAUUUGUGAAAAUGAAUUAGUAAUAAUUUUUGUGUUGUUUA